rnacentral:rRNA from 1 species
CCUACGGGUGGCAGCAGUGAGGAAUAUUGGUCAAUGGACGAGAGUCUGAACCAGCCAAGUAGCGUGAAGGAUGACUGCCCUAUGGGUUGUAAACUUCUUUUAUAUGGGAAUAAAAUGUUCCACGUGUGGGAUUUUGUAUGUACCAUAUGAAUAAGGAUCGGCUAACUCCGUGCCAGCAGCCGCGGUAAUACGGAGGAUCCGAGCGUUAUCCGGAUUUAUUGGGUUUAAAGGGAGCGUAGGUGGAUUGUUAAGUCAGUUGUGAAAGUUUGCGGCUCAACCGUAAAAUUGCAGUUGAAACUGGCAGUCGUGAGUACAGUAGAGGUGGGCGGAAUUCGUGGUGUAGCGGUGAAAUGCUUAGAGAUCACGAAGAACUCCGAUUGCGAAGGCAGCUCACUGGACUGCAACUGACACUGAGGCGCGAAAGUGUGGGUAUCAAACAGGAUUAGAUACCCCAGUAGUC